rnacentral:lncRNA from 1 species
CACUAUUCCAGGCAGCAGAUUCUGUAAUCAGCUCUGUCAACACAGUUUGCAUUCAUACUCAAGUACUAUGAUUUCUCUAGGCUUCAACACUCUCAUUAGCAAGACAAGGAAUUUGGAUUUUGUAUCAAGUGGCGUAAUCUUGAUUAUAUUGUGCUAAUGAACAGCCACUAAAUAUCAUUGUAUAUGUACCUGUUGGCUACCUUUGUAAUUAUUGAAACACAUUUUAUUUCUUCUUUCCUGUAGAUACUCUGCACAAGUCCGCUGGAGUCACUUUUCCUGCUUUGUCAUCAUCCUCACUCCAAUACUCAAGGCCAACAUCACCUCUUAAAGGUACAAUUGCCAUUGUCUUCAAGCUGUUCUUUCUGCUUCCAAUUCUGUUCCCGCUGUACUAUUGUAUUGUAAGAAGACAGAUAUGAGAAUUGCUAAGCUUAAUAAAUCUACUUAUGUUUGAAUUUGCA